UACAGAGGGUGCGAGCGUUAAUCGGAAUUACUGGGCGUAAAGCGUGCGUAGACGGUAGCGUAAGUCUGAUGUGAAAUCCCCGGGCUCAACCUGGGAAUGGCAUUGGAUACUGGCUCGCUAGAGUGCGGUAGAGGGUGGUGGAAUUCCCGGUGUAGCAGUGAAAUGCGUAGAGAUCGGGAGGAACAUCUGUGGCGAAGGCGGCCACCUGGACCAACACUGACACUGAGGCACGAAAGCGUGGGGAGCAAACAGG
rnacentral:rRNA from 1 species